UUUUAUUUAAUAUAUACUGAAAGACCCCUGGAGUGGGGAGACCCUCGCUCAAGUCUCGGGAUGAUGCGACCCCCCAAGAACUCACACAAGACU
rnacentral:pre_miRNA from 14 species